CAAUAGCGUAUAUUUAAGUUGUUGCAGUUAAAAAGCUCGUAGUUGGAUUUCGGAUGGGCUUGACCGGUCCGCCGUUUGGUGUGCACUGGUCGUGCCUAUCUUGCUGUCGGGGACGCGCUCCUGGCCUUAAUUGGCUGGGACGCGGAGUCGGCGAUGUUACUUUGAAAAAUUAGAGUGUUCAAAGCAGGCCUAAGCUCUGAAUACAUUAGCAUGGAAUAACGCUAUAGGACUCUGGUCUUAUUGCGUUGGUCUUCGAGACCGGAGUAAUGAUUAAGAGGGACAGUUGGGGGCAUUCAUAUUCCAUUGUCAGAGGUGAAAUUCUUGGAUUAACGGAAGAUGAACUUCUGCGAAAGCAUCUGCCAAGGAUGUUUUCAUUGAUCAAGAACGAAAGUUAGGGGAUCGAAGAUGAUCAGAUACCAU
rnacentral:rRNA from 1 species